rnacentral:rRNA from 1 species
UACGUAGGGUGCGAGCGUUGUCCGGAAUUAUUGGGCGUAAAGAGCUCGUAGGCGGUCUGUCGCGUCGGUCGUGAAAACUUGGGGCUUAACCCUGAGCUUGCGGUCGAUACGGGCAUGACUGGAGUUCGGUAGGGGAGACUGGAAUUCCCGGUGUAGCGGUGAAAUGCGCAGAUAUCGGGAGGAACACCGGUGGCGAAGGCGGUUCUCUGGGCCUUACCUGACGCUGAGGAGCGAAAGCGUGGGGAGCGAACAGG